rnacentral:rRNA from 1 species
UCCAAUUGGAACGCUUUUGGAUGAGUCUGCGGCUCAUUAGCUUGUUGGUGGGGUAAAGGCCUACCAAGGCAACGAUGAGUAGCCGGCCUGAGAGGGUGAACGGCCACACUGGGACUGAGACACGGCCCAGACUCCUACGGGAGGCAGCAGCUAAGAAUCUUCCGCAAUGGACGCAAGUCUGACGGAGCGACGCCGCGUGAACGAUGAAGGCGGAAACGUUGUAAAGUUCUUUUCCUGAUGAAGAAUAAUGAAAGGAGUGGAAAGCCUUUCAGAUGACAUUAUUCAGGGAAUAAGCCCCGGCUAAUUACGUGCCAGCAGCCGCGGUAAUACGUAUGGGGCAAGCGUUGUUCGGAUUUAUUGGGCGUAAAGGGCGCGCAGGCGGUUUAACAAGCUUGAUGUGAAAUAUCCCGGCUUAACUGGGGAGACGCGUUGGGAACUGUUAGACUAGAAUUUAGGAGGGGAAACUGGAAUUCCUAGUGUAGGGGUGAAAUCUGUAGAGAUUAGGAAGAACACCAAUGGCGAAGGCAAGUUUCUGGCCAUAGAUUGACGCUGAGGCGCGAAAGCGUGGGAGCGAACAGGAUUAGAUACCCUGGUAGUCCACGCUGUAAACGAUGUGCACUAGGUGUAGGAUAUUGAAUAUAUUCUGUGCCGUAGCUAACGCGUUAAGUGCACCGCCUGGGGAGUAUGCUCGCAAGGGUGAAACUCAAAGGAAUUGACGGGGGCCCGCACAAGCGGUGGAGCAUGUGGUUUAAUUCGAUACGCGAGAAACCUUACCAGGGCUUGACAUUGACAUGACGGUCUAAGAGAUUAGGCUUUCCUUUCGGGGACGUGUUAACAGGUGCUGCAUGGUUGUCGUCAGCUCGUGUCGUGAGAUGUUGGGUUAAGUCCCGCAACGAGCGCAACCCUUAUUGUCUGUUGCCAGCAUUUCGGAUGGGGACUCAGACAAAACUGCCGGUGACAAGCCGGAGGAAGGUGGGGAUGACGUCAAAUCAUCAUGGCCCUUAUGUCCUGGGCUACACACGUGCUACAAUGGCAAGUACAAAGCGUUGCGAGAAGGUGACUUUAAGCUAAUCGCAAAAAGCUUGCCUCAGUUCGGAUUGGAGUCUGAAACUCGACUCCAUGAAGUUGGAAUCGCUAGUAAUCGCGCAUCAGCAUGGCGCGGUGAAUAUGUUCCCGGGCCUUGUACACACCGCCCGUCACACCAC